rnacentral:rRNA from 1 species
CAGUCGCCGCGGUAAUACGAAGGGUGCAAUCGUUACUCGGAAUUACUGGGCGUAAAGCGUGCGUAGGUGGUGGUUUAAGUCCGUUGUGAAAGCCCUGGGCUCAACCUGGGAAUUGCAGUGGAUACUGGGUCACUAGAGUGUGGUAGAGGAUAGUGGAAUUUCCCGUGUAGCAGUGAAAUGCGUAGAGAUCGGAAGGAACAUCUGUGGCGAAGGCGACUAUCUGGGCCAACACUGACACUGAGGCACGAAAGCGUGGGGAGCAAACAGGAUUAGAUACCCCAGUAGUCCCUGUCUCUUAUAC